AAGGUUUGAUUCUAGCCUUAAAGUUACUUCUGUCUUAUCAAUAUACAUGCAAGGCAUCCAACCCCGUGAGGCCUUAGAACUCUUAAUGAAAUAUAUAAUUAAAUAAUUUAUUAUAAAAAUAAAGAUACCACGACUGCAGUAUAAAACUCUCUUUAUCUUCGCAAGAAGGAAAAGGCUAUUGACUAACCUCCUGGUAAAAUCUGUGCCAGCUACUGCGGUUAAACAGAAAGGAUUGUAACUAAAGUCAGGUAAACGCGGCUCAUGAUAAAAAUACUCACAUUAUUAAAGGUUCAAUUUUUUUUACCCUUUACCUUUUCUAACAUUAUCUCUUUAUUUCACGUGAAAGCUUAAACCAAAACAAGGAUUAGAUACCCUUUUAUUCUAAGCCAUAAACUGCUAACCCCCUGGGCACUACGAACCCAUGUUUAAAACCCAAAGAUCUUGGCGGUGCUUUAACCUCUUAGGGGAACCUGUUCUUUAAUUUGAUACCCCACGCUGAGCUCCACUUAUAGUUCGCCCUAGCAUGUGUACUGCCGUCGUAAGCUUACCUUGAAAAAGCAAGUAAGCAAAAAGCUAACAGGCACCACGUCAGGUCAAAGUGCAGCCUAUACUUAAGUAGAAAUGGGUUACAACCCUAACCCCGGAUUACGAAUUUCUAGUCUCAAAAUAAAAUGAAGGAGGACUUAAAAGUAAGGACUCUUACCCCCCUGAAUAAGGCAAUAUAAAGCAUGCACACAUCGCCCGUCACUCUCACCGAAAGGGGAGAUAAGUCGUAACAUAGUAGGUGUAAUGGAAAUUGUGCCU
rnacentral:rRNA from 1 species